rnacentral:rRNA from 1 species
UACAGAGGUCUCAAGCGUUGUUCGGAUUCAUUGGGCGUAAAGGGUGCGUAGGCGGCGCGGUAAGUCGGGUGUGAAAUCUCGGAGCUUAACUUCGAAACUGCAUUCGAUACUGCCGUGCUUUGAGGACUGGAGAGGAGACUGGAAUCUACGGUGUAGCGGUGAAAUGCGUAGAUAUCGUAAGGAAGACCAGUGGCGAAGGCGGGUCUCUGGACAGUUCCUGACGCUGAGGCACGAAGGCCAGGGGAGCAAACGGG